UGAGCUGCAUUUAUUUGUGGUCAGUAUUGAACGUGGAUAUAAUUUCUAGAUUCUGUACAUUGUCUUGUAUAGCAGAGGGCAAGAGAUCAUGCUAACUCAUAUGCAGAAGUUGUAGACCUGUUUACAAAUCUUGAGACUUGUAAAUUUGUGUUAAAUCUACAUAUGAUAUAUAUGCCACAGGGAAAGAUCUCAUUUUGGAAGGUUUCAAUCAAUUGCAAAUUCUUUGUUUAGCUCAUGCACACUUGAAGAUACUGUAGACUGCAUUAAAUUUGCUGGCUCAUUUCCACUUCCUUUUUUUGCGUGAUUUCCUUCACAAGGCAGCUAUGGAGCUUCAGGAAGAGAAAAUGUUGGAAGAUUAUCCUCCACAUAGUACUUCAUGAGAGAUUGCAAGAUGCAAGAUAAUAGUGGAUGCACAGCUGCAUUGUUUUCCCUGCAAAAUUAUUCAAUUGAGUAGAAAGCAUGUCCUGGGAGCUAUCAACUUUGCUCCAAGUGAAAGAUAAAAAAAGUGCGUUGGAGGUCGAUAUCAUGCCCUUUUAUUAGCUCCUUAUGGGAUUAUGACUGCUAAAUUUUGGGUUCAAGCUGUAAGCCUGAACAGAAAUAGAGAUAAGUUUACAUCACCCACUCAAGCUUUGAGCCUCGAGUUCUCAUCAUGUUGCCAGCAUCCUUCAGCUAAAGCUGAUUAGAGGACCAAGAAAUGUCACUUUGCAAUUGGAAUCAUCAGAUGAUGGAAGAGAAUUAGCGAGUUCAAUAAGGAAGAGUAAACAAAACUAGUGAUAACCGUUGCUUGUGAAACUUGAGGUUUGAAUUCCCGUUUUGAAAGCAUCCUUCAAUUAAAGAUUGAUCGAAUGAACAAUUGAACUAGCUUUGCAAUUAGAACCAUUAGAAGAUGGAACAGGACUUCGUCCAAAGUGCACAAGCAGCUUUCCUUGUUAAAGUUGUUGCAUAUAUUGUUAGAUAUGAGAAGGAUGUGAAGUAAUUCAAUUUUUGCAAUAUUUCAGGAAAAUCUUGAUUAUGGAAUUCUAUGCUAUAUGUUGCUAAACUUUAUUGCUUCCUACCUAAUGAUAUGAGUUGUAAAAUACAUAUUACACAUA